CUCUUGGCCAUUCUCAUUUCCUCAUCAGAGAAGUCUCUUUUUGGGUCUUUAGCCCAUUUGUUGAGGGGGCUGUUGGUUCUUUGAGGAUUUGUUUUGGAGGAAUUUAAUAUCUUGAGUUCUAAGUAUAUAUUAGAUAUCAGGUCUUUGCCCAUUGUAUGGCUAGUGAAGACCUUAUCCCAAUCUGUGGGUUUUCUGUUUAUCUUGCAAGCUAUGUCCUUUGCCCUGCAGAAGCUCUGCAG